GAUGAACGCUAGCUACAGGCUUAACACAUGCAAGUCGAGGGACCGGCGCACGGGUGAGUAACACGUAUCCAACCUGCCCUUUACUCGGAGAUAGCCUUUCGAAAGAAAGAUUAAUACCCGAUAUAAAGGAUGGUGAUGCGUUCCAUUAGGUUGUUGGUGAGGUAACGGCUCACCAAGCCUUCGAUGGUUAGGGGUUCGGAGAGGAAGGUACACCACAAUGGAACGGAGACACGGUCCAAACUCCGAGGGGAGGGAGGAGUGUGGAAUACUGGUCAAGGGACGCUAGCCGGAACCAGCCAAGUAGCGUAAAGAAUGAAGGGUUAUGGGUCGUAAACUUCUUUUAUAGAAGAAUAUGUAUUAAAUGAAUAAGGAUCGGCUAACUCCGUGCCAGCCGCCGCGGUAAUAC
rnacentral:rRNA from 1 species